UACGGAGGGUGCAAGCGUUAAUCGGAAUUACUGGGCGUAAAGCGCACGUAGGUGGUUUGCUAAGUCAGCUGUGAAAUCCCCGGGCUCAACCUGGGCACUGCAGUUGAAACUGGCAAGCUAGAGUAGGGUAGAGGGGUGUGGAAUUCCAGGUGUAGCGGUGAAAUGCGUAGAUAUCUGGAGGAAUACCGGUGGCGAAGGCGGCGAUCCUGGACCAUAA
rnacentral:rRNA from 1 species